UUGAUCCUGGCUCAGAUUGAACGCUGGCGGCGUGCUUAACACAUGCAAGUCGAACGCGAAAGGGGGUUUCGGCUCCCGAGUAGAGUGGCGCACGGGUGAGUAACGCGUGGAUAAUCUGCCCUCUUGUUCGGGAUAACUGCUGGAAACGGCAGCUAAUACCGGAUAAGCUCUACCAAUUGUAUGGUGGAGGAAAGGAGGCCUCUUCAUGAAAGCUUCCGCGAGGGGAUGAGUCCGCGUCCCAUUAGCUAGUUGGUGAGGUAACGGCCCACCAAGGCAACGAUGGGUAGCCGGUCUAAGAGGAUGACCGGCCACACUGGAACUGAAACACGGUCCAGACUCCUACGGGAGGCAGCAGUGGGGAAUAUUGCGCAAUGGACGAAAGUCUGACGCAGCGACGCCGCGUGAGGGAUGAAGGUUUUCGGAUCGUAAACCUCUGUCAGGAGGGAAGAAAGCGCAUGGCGCCAAUCAGCCAUGCGUUGACGGUACCUCCAAAGGAAGCGCCGGCUAACUCCGUGCCAGCAGCCGCGGUAAUACGGAGGGCGCGAGCGUUAAUCGGAAUUACUGGGCGUAAAGCGCGCGUAGGCUGUUGUGUAAGUUGGGGGUGAAAUCCCACGGCUCAACCGUGGAACAGCCCUUGAUACUGCGCGACUUGAAUUCGGGAGAGGGUGGCGGAAUUCCAGGUGUAGGAGUGAAAUCCGUAGAUAUCUGGAGGAACAUCAGUGGCGAAGGCGGCCACCUGGACCGGUAUUGACGCUGAGGCGCGAAAGCGUGGGGAGCAAACAGGAUUAGAUACCCUGGUAGUCCACGCUGUAAACGAUGUAAGGUGGAUGUCGGGGAGUAAUCCCGCGGUGUCGUAGCCAACGCGGUAAGCAUCCCGCCUGGGGAGUACGGUCGCAAGGCUGAAACUCAAAGAAAUUGACGGGGGCCCGCACAAGCGGUGGAGUAUGUGGUUUAAUCGAUGCAACGCGAAGAACCUUACCUGGGUUUGACAUCCGGGGGAUCCUCCCGAAAAGGGGG
rnacentral:rRNA from 1 species